ensembl:snoRNA U3 Small nucleolar RNA U3
AAGACUGUACUUUCAGGGAUCAUUUCUAUAGUUUUUGACUUGAGAAAUGUGUUUCUACAGUGUGUGGUCUCGCUAACCAUGAUGAUGAGUUGUGAUUUUCUCUUUUGAGCAUGAAGCUGAUAGAGUAGUGCUGUACUGCACAUGGUCUGUCAUUGAUGAUUACCUUUUGCUCUACUGUAGAGCACUGAGGAAGGGAAUUUGAUCAGAGUGGC